rnacentral:rRNA from 1 species
CCCCUAGAUGUUCUGGGCCGCACGCGCGCUACACUGAACAGUUCAACAAGUCUUAACCUUGGCCGAUAGGUCUGGGUAAUCUUUGAACGCUGUUCGUGAUUGGGAUAGACCUUUGCAAUUAUGGGUCUUCAACGAGGAAUUCCUAGUAAACGCAAGUCAUCAGCUUGCAUUGAUUACGUCCCUGCCCUUUGUACACACCGCCCGUCGCGCCUACCGAUCGAAUGGUCCGGUGAAAUCUCGGGACGGCGGCUUGGUCGCUUGCGUCCGACUGCUGAAACUUGAUUAAACCAUAUCAUUUAGAGGAAGGUGAAGUCGUAACA